UACGAAGGGGGCUAGCGUUGCUCGGAAUCACUGGGCGUAAAGCGCACGUAGGCGGCUUUUUAAGUCAGGGGUGAAAUCCUGGAGCUCAACUCCAGAACUGCCUUUGAUACUGGGAGCUCGAGUCCGGGAGAGGUGAGUGGAACUGCGAGUGUAGAGGUGAAAUUCGUAGAUAUUCGCAAGAACACCAGUGGCGAAGGCGGCUCACUGGCCCGGUACUGACGCUGAGGUGCGAAAGCGUGGGGAGCGAACAGGA
rnacentral:rRNA from 1 species